rnacentral:rRNA from 1 species
CCUACGGGAGGCAGCAGUGGGGAAUUUUGGACAAUGGGCGCAAGCCUGAUCCAGCAAUGCCGCGUGCAGGAAGAAGGCCUUCGGGUUGUAAACUGCUUUUGUACGGAGCGAAAAGGCUCUCUCUAAUACAGGGGGCUCAUGACGGUACCGUAAGAAUAAGCACCGGCUAACUACGUGCCAGCAGCCGCGGUAAU